rnacentral:rRNA from 1 species
GACGAACGCUGGCGGCGUGCCUAAUACAUGCAAGUUGAGCGAUGAAGAUUGGUGCUUGCACCAAUUUGAAGAGCAGCGAACGGGUGAGUAACGCGUGGGGAAUCUGCCUUUGAGCGGGGGACAACAUUUGGAAACGAAUGCUAAUACCGCAUAACAACUUUAAACAUAAGUUUUAAGUUUGAAAGAUGCAAUUGCAUCACUCAAAGAUGAUCCCGCGUUGUAUUAGCUAGUUGGUGAGGUAAAGGCUCACCAAGGCGAUGAUACAUAGCCGACCUGAGAGGGUGAUCGGCCACAUUGGGACUGAGACACGGCCCAAACUCCUACGGGAGGCAGCAGUAGGGAAUCUUCGGCAGUGGACGAAAGUCUGACCGAGCAACGCCGCGUGAGUGAAGAAGGUUUUCGGAUCGUAAAACUCUGUUGGUAGAGAAGAACGUUGGUGAGAGUGGAAAGCUCAUCAAGUGACGGUAACUACCCAGAAAGGGACGGCUAACUACGUG